rnacentral:rRNA from 1 species
GACGGAGGAUGCAAGUGUUAUCCGGAAUCACUGGGCGUAAAGCGUCUGUAGGUGGUCCAAUAAGUCAACUGUUAAAUCUUGAAGCUCAACUUCAAAAUCGCAGUCGAAACUAUUAGACUAGAGUAUAGUAGGGGUAAAGGGAACUUCCAGUGGAGCGGUGAAAUGCGUAGAUAUUGGAAAGAACACCGAUGGCGAAGGCACUUUACUGGGCUAUUACUGACACUCAGAGACGAAAGCUAGGGUAGCAAAUGGG